GGAUGUGGAUCAAGUUGGUGGGAAGCGUGCGGUGCCGCAGCAAUGGCGGCGCUCACAAUUGCCACGGGUACUGGCAAUUGGUUUUCGGCUUUGGCGCUCGGGGUGACUCUUCUCAAAUGCCUUCUCAUCCCCACAUAGGCCAAGACUGAAAGCGUGGAAACCAAGAAGCAACCAUGAAAUGGUGGUGUGUAUACACCAUUCCACAGAUUUUGAAGUACACCGAAACUGGCUUGCUAUCACUCACAGUUUGCCAAUAUCACAGUGGUAUUAUGAGGCAACUUCAGAGUGGACGUUGGAUUACCCCCCUUUCUUUGCAUGGUUUGAGUAUAUCCUGUCACAUGUUGCCAAAUAUUUUGAUCAAGAAAUGCUGAAUGUCCAUAAUUUGAAUUACUCCAGCUCAAGGACCUUACUUUUCCAGAGAUUUUCCGUCAUCUUUAUGGAUGUACUCUUUGUGUAUGCUGUCCGUGA
rnacentral:lncRNA from 1 species